rnacentral:piRNA from 1 species
UGCUAAUAUUUGCCUAAAUAUUUCCUUGGCUC